rnacentral:rRNA from 1 species
GACGAACGCUGGCGGCGUGCUUAACACAUGCAAGUCGAACGGACGGGCCCUGCUUUUGUUUGGUUCUCGAUUGCCGAACGGGUGAGUAACACGUGUGUAACCUCCCCUUGUCUUUCUGAUAACUUCUGGAAACUCGGGCUAUUACCGGCUAGGAUCUCCUGCUGCAUAUUGGGCGUUAGAAAGUUUCGGCGGUUGUGUAUGUACUGGCGGCUUAUCCGCUUGUUUGUGGGGUAGUGACUUACCAGGGCUUCGACGGGUAGCCGGCCUGGGAGGGUGACCGGGGACAUUGGGACUAAGAGAGGGCGCAGAAUGCUACGGGAGGCAGCAGGGGGGAACAUUGCACAAUGGGCGGAAGCGUGAUGCAGCAACGCCGGGUGCGGGAUGACGGCCUUCGGGUUGUAAACCGCUGUCGCAUGUGACGAAGCGUGAGUGACGGUAAUGGGUAAAGAAGCAACGGCUAACUACGUG